AAAAGCGGAGGAAAAGAAACCAACAGGGAUUGCCUCAGUAACGGCGAGUGAAGCGGCAAAAGCUCAAAUUUGAAAUCUAGCACCUUCGGUGUUCGAGUUGUAAUUUGAAGAUGGUAACCUUGGGUUUGGCUCUUGUCUAUGUUCCUUGGAACAGGACGUCAUAGAGGGUGAGAAUCCCGUCUGAUGAGAUGCCCAUUCCUAUGUAAGGUGCUAUCGAAGAGUCGAGUUGUUUGGGAAUGCAGCUCUAAGUGGGUGGUAAAUUCCAUCUAAAGCUAAAUAUUGGCGAGAGACCGAUAGCGAACAAGUACAGUGAUGGAAAGAUGAAAAGAACUUUGAAAAGAGAGUGAAAAAGUACGUGAAAUUGUUGAAAGGGAAGGGCAUUAGAUCAGACUUGGUGUUUUACGAUUAUCUUCUCUUCUUGAGUUGUGCACUCGUAUUUCACUGGGCCAGCAUCGAUUCGGAUGGCAAGAUAAUGGCAGUUGAAUGUGGCUUCACUUCGGUGGAGUGUUAUAGCUUCUGCUGAUAUUGCCUGUCUGGAUCGAGGGCUGCGUCUUUUGACUAGGAUGCUGGCGUAAUGAUCUAAUGCCGCCCGUCUUGACCC
rnacentral:rRNA from 1 species